rnacentral:rRNA from 1 species
UACGGGGGGAGCAAGCGUUGUUCGGAUUUACUGGGCGUAAAGGGCGCGUAGGCGGUCAGCACAAGUCAGUUGUGAAAUCUCCGGGCUUAACUCGGAAAGGUCAACUGAUACUGUGCGACUAGAGUGCGGAAGGGGCAACUGGAAUUCUCGGUGUAGCGGUGAAAUGCGUAGAUAUCGAGAGGAACACCUGCGGCGAAGGCGGGUUGCUGGGCUGACACUGACGCUGAUGCGCGAAAGCCAGGGGAGCGAAGCGGG